rnacentral:rRNA from 1 species
CAGGCCUAACACAUGCAAGUCGUACGGUAAGGCCCUUUCGGGGGUACGCGAGUGGCGAACGGGUGAGUAACACGUGAGUAACCUGCCCACAACUUUGGGAUAACGCUAGGAAACUGGUGCUAAUACUGGAUAUGUGCUCCUGCUGCAUGGUGGGGGUUGGAAAGCUCCGGCGGUUGUGGAUGGACUCGCGGCCUAUCAGCUUGUUGGUGGGGUAGUGGCCUACCAAGGCGGCGACGGGUAGCCGGCCUGAGAGGGUGACCGGCCACAUUGGGACUGAGAUACGGCCCAGACUCCUACGGGAGGCAGCAGUGGGGAAUAUUGCACAAUGGGCGCAAGCCUGAUGCAGCAACGCCGCGUGCGGGAUGACGGCCUUCGGGUUGUAAACCGCUUUCAGCAGGGACGAAGCUUUUUGUGACGGUACCUGCAGAAGAAGCACCGGCUAACUACGUGCCAGCAGCCGCGGUGAUACGUAGGGUGCGAGCGUUGUCCGGAUUUAUUGGGCGUAAAGGGCUCGUAGGCGGUUGAUCGCGUCGGAAGUGGAAACUUGAUGCUUAACGUUGAGCGUGCUUUCGAUACGGGUUGACUUGAGGAAGGUAGGGGAGUAUGGAAUUCCUGGUGGAGCGGUGGAAUGCGCAGAUAUCAGGAGGAACACCAGUGGCGAAGGCGGUUCUCUGGACCUUUCCUGACGCUGAGGAGCGAAAGCGUGGGGAGCGAACAGGCUUAGAUACCCUGGUAGUCCACGCUGUAAAC